CUCCUCCACGGUUUCCUCUCCACCGUCCCCCGCACACCCAGCCACCCAGCCAGGUUUUUACCCUGGUUUCCUCUCCCAGUCUUCGUCUUCCUCUCCCGAGUCCUGACCUGACCUACCUCUACCUCCAGCAAGCUCCAAUAAUCCCUCCCACCCGAUGCGCCUCCAAGAACCACCUCCUGAGACAGCUCUGCCCUAGGCUGCCGCGCGCCUUUAGCUCAGCGUCUCGCCGCCUCUCGGCCCCGUCGCCGCCAUGGACGUGUCGCUGCUGCCUCAACACCGCCGCUCGUCAAUCCAGCACAAUCGACAGGGGGCUGGAAAGGCUGAUGCGUCCUCCUCUUCUCGGUGCCUUUUUGGUGCAUUGCUGGGCACCAGCUCUGCUCUGCUCUGCUCAGAUCUCAUGUUCAUCGCUCACCUGUCUUAUCCAUAAAGAAACUGAGAAAGCUCAUUUUGUAGCAUAAAUGAAACAUUUGAGGUUUGUCAUUUCAAGCAUCAGACCAGGCUUUAAUUUAUUAUAUAGGAUAAACCUGAGUACUGCAGAGGAUUCACUGAGGAAGUGCAAAUAUUAUUUUGGGAGAGAAUAGACAAAAUCACUGGUUAGAAAGACAAGAUUUCAUUAACCACUUAAGGUCUAGAGAGGCCUCAGGCUCUGCUCA